UACGGGGGGAGCAAGCGUUGUUCGGAUUUAUUGGGCGUAAAGAGCGCGUAGGCGGUCCGUUAAGUCGGCUGUGAAAGUCAGGGGCUCAACCCUUGGAAGCCGGCCGAUACUGUCGGACUAGAGUCCGGAAGAGGAGAGUGGAAUUCCUGGUGUAGCGGUGAAAUGCGCAGAUAUCAGGAAGAACACCUAUGGCGAAGGCAGCUCUCUGGGACGGUACUGACGCUGAGACGCGAAAGCGUGGGGAGCGAACAGG
rnacentral:rRNA from 1 species